rnacentral:rRNA from 1 species
UACGUAGGGCGCAAGCGUUGUCCGGAAUUAUUGGGCGUAAAGAGCUCGUAGGCGGCCUGUCGCGUCUGCUGUGAAAUCCCGGGGCUUAACCCCGGGCGUGCAGUGGAUACGGGCUGGCUGGAGGCAGGCAGGGGAGAAUGGAAUUCCCGGUGUAGCGGUGAAAUGCGCAGAUAUCGGGAGGAACACCGGUGGCGAAGGCGGUUCUCUGGGCAUUUCCUGACGCUGAGGCGCGAAAGCGUGGGGAGCAAACGGG